rnacentral:lncRNA from 1 species
UCGGAUUUCACAUGUUUUUUAGGUCUUUAUUAUCAUUUUGCUUGUGUUAUGCUUUCUUUUUGGUUGUUUUUGGGUAUUUAGCUCUUUCAGGACCUUUUUAGAAGAAACGAAGCAAAAAGACCAAAAAAUUAGGGUUUUAGGAAAAUAUUGUACUCGCGGUGUUCUGCAUGGUGGCCGCUAUAGGAGAAGCCAUGACACAUCAGCCCUCAACCAGGAGGAAACUUCCAUGAUCCCA